GGGGAUUUAGCUUAGCGGCAUAAGCACCUGCCUGACAAGCAUGAGCUCAUAAGUUCAAUCCCCA
rnacentral:tRNA from 1 species